rnacentral:rRNA from 1 species
GGCUAAAUUCUCUGUCCCCACCGAUCGCGCACCAGUACCGUGAGGGAAAGGUCAUGAGCACCCCCGAAGGGGAGUGAAAUAGGACCUGAAUCCGUGUGUUGACAAGUAGCCAGAGCGCGUUAAUGGGUGAUGGCGUGCUUUUUAUAGAAUGAGGCGGCGAGUUACGAGGUGAUGUAAUGUUAAGCAAUAGCGGUGGAGCCGUAGAGAGAGCUAGUCUGAACACCGCGUUUAGUAUGUGGUGGUAGGCCCGAACCCAGGUCAUCUACCCCUGGACAGGUUGAAGUUCAGGUAAC